CGUGUGCAUUAUUUACUCUUGGACAACGUGCCAUGUAUUCACUGCAUACUUUAAUUAUAAUCAUGGCCAUGUUGUCUGGAACGACAGGCCAGGAUUCAGUUUCACAAGAUCCUCUUCAAUUGCAAGUUCAAGAAGGACAGACCAUAAAGUUGAAUUGCACGUACACGACAAAGUAUGGUGCACCAACCCUCUUCUGGUACAUCCAGUAUCCCGGGGAAUCUCUGGAAUAUUUACUGAGGAGGUUCGAUAAGGAAAAUGGAGAUACGUCUCCAAAGUUUUCUGAUCGGUUUUCUGCCUUUUUGGAAAAAGAUAAGAAAACAGUUCCAUUAAGCAUCACGGGAGUUCGUGUCUCCGACUCAGCAAUGUAUUACUGUGCACUGCUGCCCACAUUGUUACAGAAAUGCACUCAGCCCUUACAAAAAGAAACAAGAGACUCUUAG